UGUUUUCAUCUUAAACCAUUGUCAGUGACGUCAUUCUACGCGACUACCACAGGUGAAGGUGCUGCCCACCCAUGAUGCCAGCAAGGUGCGUGCAAGUGGAUCCGGCCUUAAAACCACUGGAGUGCCCAGCUCUCUGCCAGUGAAGUUCAACAUUGAUGGCAAAGAUGCAGGUGAGGGACUGCUGGCAGUGCAGAUCACUGUGAGCGCAUGUGAUCUGCUAUUCCUCUUUGAAUAGUACGCUGGUUGCCCCCGGAGUUCGAGUCUCCGGGAGGAAAUCCUGGUGGUUUGAGGCCCCAGGCUUGUGUUGGGUACGGUCCAUCACAAGGACAUUGGCUCGAGCGCGCUGUUGGGGAGAAGCCGGCCCAGACCUGUGUUCGAUCCAAGUACGCCACAGGGACAGCGGUUCGGGUACGCUGUCGGAGUCCAUUUCUGCAUACUAUAGUGCACGGAGUGGUGGUGUUCGUUCCUUGGUCCGUAGAAGGCAAGGGCCUCACGGGGGACGCCUCGUGUAGUAAAAUGGGAUCUAGAUCCAGUAGAGCGGCAGACGUUUCACCAGGCGGCCAGGGACAAAACUCAAUGUGUGACUGUAUGGUAAGAACUGAGUAAAUGUGUGGUGUGUAAGAUUGCAGAGAAUGGUUGUGUGGGAAAAGUUGAUGUGUGUGUAAAAAAAAAAAAAAAAAAACAGUGAAAAAUUGGGUUCAAAAUGUUGAAAAUGGGGAACAAAAAACAAGAAAAGAAAAAAGAGGAGUGUAAAAGUCGUCUCGUCUCCAACUAGCGGAAGGUGGUGGUCCUGCAGACCACCAGCUCCCCUAGUGUGGACACACAAAAAAUUUCUUUUUAGCAGAA